GCCCGGUUAGCUCAAUCGGUAGAGCGUGAGACUCUUAAUCUCAAGGUUGCGGGUAAGCUAUUCUUCUUCAAGACGUAUUUGCAAAUUGGCAAUGCUAACAAACCUUGCGAUAGGUUCGACCCCCGCAUCGGGCU